CUAAUGCAUGUGAUGACAACAUAGUUCAGCAGAAAAACCAUGUAGAGUUUAGAGCAAUGUCUUUCGCUCCUAUCUGAUGCAAUUA